CUCUUCCAGAGCUGGUUCACUUCCUAUAGGGACUGAAAACCAAGUGAGGAGAUGAAGGAUUGCACUGUAGAACGCCACGGAAUAGAGAGAGGAUAGAGACCACAGAUAGAUUUCACCCAGGGAACAGCUGGACAACUGUGCGAAGACACCUGCCUCUUCUCAGCAUUGCUCAACACAGGGAAGGUUGGGUAGUGAAGCCAUCAUCCAGAGAUCAGUCAGGUCGGGGGGAUUUUGGCAUAUCAUGAGCUGCUGACUCACUGCUACAGCCAUGGGACUGUUUAAGUGAGAGGUCUGUGAGAAGAGCUACAUAAACUUGUAAGGUCUCUACACAGACAAGGUACAUCUGCUGUACAACUGUUAACACACAGGCAGCUACAUGAAAGAGAAACUAUUCAAGUGUGCUGUGUGCGACCGAGCUUUCGCAAGAUCACUGACACUCACAAAUCACCAACGUAUUCACACUGGGGAGAAGCCAUUCAAAUGUGAGGUGUGUAACAAGUGCUUCACACAGCUAUCGGGCUUGCUGAAUCACCAACCUAUUCACAGAGGGGAAAAGCCAUUCAGAUGUGAGAUUUGUGCGAAAUCAUUUUCACAGUCAUCCAGCCUCCUUGUGCAUCAACGCAUUCACACAGGAGAAAAGCCAUUCAGGUGUGAGGUGUGUGAUAAAGCAUUUUCAACAUUAGGGGAACUUCGUAAACACCAACGCAUUCACACAGGGGAGAGACCGUUUACAUGUGAGAUAUGUGACAAAUCAUUCUCGCAGUCAGAGAAUCUCCACACACACCGACGCAUUCACACAGGGGAGAGACCAUUUAGAUGCAAGGUUUGUGACAAAUCAUUCUUACGGGCAGAGAACCUCCGCAAUCAUCAGCGCAUUCACACAGGGGAGAAACCAUUCACAUGUGAAGUGUGUGACCAGAGUUUUACACAGUUGUCAGGUCUGGUGCAUCAUCGGCCUAGUCACACAGACAGCAAGUCAUUCACCUGUGAUGUGUGUGACAAGUCAUUCUCACAGUCAUCGACCCUCCGUGAGCACCAAAGAAUUCACACAGGGGACAAGCCAUUCAGCUGUGUGGUGUGUCACAAAUCAUUCUCACGGUCAGGGAACCUUCGUACACAUCAACGUAUUCACACAGGGGAGAAACCGUUUAAGUGUGAGGUGUGUGACAAGUCCUUCACUCAGUCAUCAAUCCUCCUUGUUCACCAACGUGUUCACACAGGGGAGAAACCAUUCAUGUGUGAGAUGUGCGACAAAUCAUUCUCGAGGUCAUGGAGCCUUCUCCUCCAUCAAAGAAUCCACACGGGGGAGUAAACAUUUAAGUGUGAUGUUUAUGAUGAAGGUUUUGCAAUGAUUCUGACCACCUUGCAAAACACAGAAUUCAGAUAGCAGUGAAACUCAUCAGGUGCAAUGUUUGUGGCAAGGUUUUCCUGCAGUCGAAUUAUAACUGGUCCAUCAAUGUGCUGACACAGGCCUAGCAGUGUGAGGUCUGUAAUGAAUCCUUCAGAUGGUUUUUGGACUUCCUGGAACAUCAAUGAACUUACACGGGGAUCUGUGUAACCAGGCUUUUGCCAAUCAAUAAGUUUACCUGUACACAGUCUCACAGUGCAGGGUGUUCAAUGGGACUGGGACACAGAACAAGAAGCAGCUUUCACUCCCAUCAAACACCUAGUGAUGACAUCACCAGUGCUGAGGGAUUAUGAUGUCAACAAUGGAGCCACCCUGCAGUGUGAUGUCAGUGACACAGGACUUGGAAAAACCCCCAUGCAGUGAGGGCAACCCGUUGGGUUUGUAUCCAGAUUCAAACUAACUACACAACCCUAUGCACAGAUUCAGAAAGAAAACCUAACUAUUAUCUUUGUAAAAUUUUCAAGCAGUACCUUUGGGAGAGAGGAGGUGAUGGUGGAUUCUGACCACGAGCCAAUUCAAGAUAUCUUUCUGACUGCAGGCUAUUGUCACCAGUUGAGCUGGCCUGGGUGCAAACAUUCAACACACUCAACAAAAAUGAGCUCAUUGGCAACAGUGUAGAAAGCGUAUCACCUUGAUCAUACACACUGAAAGUGAAUGACUAGACCUGUUCUAGCAACCAAAGACAUCUGUGUGCAAUCGGAGAAUCUGCUCUUUCACAGCAGACAGCUUGAAGAGGCUGGUUUGAUGUCACCAGUCAAGUGGAGAACUGAACCACCAUGAAUCCCAGAGGUCAACUAUUCCCCAACAAAUGCUGCAGAGAGAAACAACAGCAGACACAGGCUGAUCAACUGGUAUCUACACUAUAAUAAGACUUGAAUGGUUCAAGGGUCAUGUGUGGAACCUGCAUAUGGGGCAGAUAAAAUUGAAACUUACUAGAAAGAACAAAUGGUAUUUACGUACAAGGGUGACAUUUAUUUUGAUGGGCUAUAUAUGUGGAGUAACUUGCAAACAAUAGUGUAAAUAUUUUCCUACGAGUUAGAUGUUUUGAGAAAUACACAACAUCUUGUGAUAUGAAGCUGAUAUUUGAUAUCUUAUGAAAAUAAUGCUUUGGGGCCUGCAGCAUUCUGCACACCACAUGGAACAUUGUUUAAAAUGCAACUUCCUUCAAAUAUUUCUGAAGCAAUGAAUUUCUUGAAGCUUGGGAAAAUGACAUAUGAAAUAGAAAUGACUUUGAUCAGUAGAUCAGAUGGGAAUUUAAACCAAUCAUUGUUCCAUUUGGGUUCACAAAUUUCAGCUGCUGUCUCAGUUCUCCUGGUAAAUAUUUGACAGAGAUUUCUUGUGUGGGAAUAGCAUUUUUCAUUCAUGGAGGCUUUCAAAUGGGCAACAUCAGUGCAGGAUGUGGAGUCAUAAAUGUGUUUGAAAGCAGAUCAGAAGAGGUACGUAGGAUUGAGGAACAAGGGAAGAAUGGAGAUACGAGGGAUAUACCAAGUACAGAGGGGUAGGAGCAAUUUCUUUUUUUCCUCGUUCAAUCUCUGCUCCCUUCCACAUUGUCUAGCUUUCAACCUCUCCUUCCUCAGCUCAUUCUCUUUUUCUUUCUCCAAUAUUAGAAGAUGAGGUAUAGAGAGAAAGUUUUAAACUCCAUCAUAAAACAAAGCAGAAACCUAAUUGAAUAUUAUUGAGGUAACAAAAGUCGACGUGAUAUGAUUUUACCUGUUGCACCUGUUUAUGUAGCGUCAACCAAAAUAAACUAUUAUAUGUGAGCAUGUACUUCCCUGAAGUAAUUGCUGGCCACAACUCAUUGAACAGAGUCACAAAUGAGACUGACUGUUGGUGCCUGAACACCCAAAAACCUGAGUGUAAUUUGAAGAGUCACAUCGAACAGGUGUAACCGGCAGUGACUUGCCACUUUCAUUAUUCUAAUCUUGAGCCAACAUUUUGAAUUUUGAGGCACGGUGACUUAGUGGUUAGCAAUGUUACCUCACAGCACGAGGGACCCGGGUUUGAUUCCACUUUUGGGCAUCUGUCUGUGUGGAGUGUGCACAUUCUUCCUGUGUCUGCGUGGGUUUCAUCCAGUGGCUCCGGUUUCCUUCCACUUUCCAAAGAUGUGCAGGUUAGGUAGGUUGGCCAUGUUAAAUUGCUCAGUGUGUUCAGGGAUGUGUAGUUUGGGUGGGUUAGAAGGGAAUGAGUCUGGCUAGGACACUGUGAGCAUCGGUGUGGACUUGUUGGGCUGAAGUGCCUGUUUCCAUGCUGUUGGGAUUCCAACUAUAAGUCCUACCUAAUAAAGGCAGUCACAGAGUCAUACAGCAUGUAAAUAGGCCACUUUGGUCCAACCCAGUCCAUACAGACUGUGAUCCCAAAGUAAACUAGUCCAACCUGCUUGCACUUGGCUCAUAUCCCUUCAAACAUUUCUUAUUCAUGUACUUACCUAAAUCUCUUUUAAACGUGCGUAAUUGUACCCACAUCUACCUCUUCCUUUGGAAGCUGAUUCCUCACACAAACUCUCUUUAUGAAAAAAAAGUCCCUGUCUUUUUAAAAUCUUUUUCCUCUCAGCUUAAAAAAUAUACUUCCUAAUGUUGAAAUCCCCUACACUAGGGAAAAUACAUUUGCUAUUCACUUUAUCUAUUGCCUUAUUAUUUUAUGAACCUCUAUAAAGUCACCUCUCAACCUCCCAUGCUCCAGUGAAGAAAGUCGUAGCUUAUCCGUCUCUCCUCAUAAAUAAAACCCUGCAACAUCCUGGAAAUCUCUUCUGAACCCUUUCCAGCUUAAUACUACUCCAGAAGAAACCUCACCAAAAUCUUGUACAACCUUAACAUAACAACCCAACUCCUAUACUCGAAGGUCUGAGCAAUGAAGGCAAGCAUGAUAAACAUCUUCUUAACUACCCUGUCUAUACGUGAUGGAAAUCUUAAAGAACUAUGUUGCUGAUUGUCUAGGUCUAUGUUCUACAAGACUCACCAAGGCUGUGUUUUGAAUUGUAUAAGUCCUGCCCUUGUUUGUUUUACCAAAUUGCAAUAGCUCACAUUUGUCCAAAUUAAACUCCAGCUGCCACUUCCGGCUCAUUGACCUAAUUGAUCAAGAUCUCUUUGUAAUCUUGGCUAACUUUCUUCACUGUCCACUAUACCACCAAUUUUGGUGUCAUCCACAGACUUACUAACCAUGAUUUCGAUAUUCUCAUCUAAAUCAUUUAAGUAAUUGACAAACAAAGGUGGACUCAGUACUGACCCUUGUGGAACGCCACUAAUCACUGAUUGCAACUGUUGUAUCAGUUACCCAGGAAAAUGUCCUACUACCUAGCCAAAGUGUUAAGGAGUUUUUCCCUGGGUCUUCCUUCUCAACAUCUGGUCUAUCUGGAAAAAACACCUCUCUGAUGAGCAACCAGUGAGGACUGUCAUCUGCAUCUGAGCACUUGUUGAUAGACCCUAUUUCUAGAGGGAGGUUUAUUACUUUGUGUCAAUCAACUGUCUCAACCCUGUUGGCCAAUGACCAUGGGACAGCUACUCAUGACCGUUGGCUUCUUGCCAAUAUCAGUCUGGAGGUUGGUUUCAUUCCUUUUGAAAUCAAAACCUUCUUAUUUUCAAAAACACUGCUCUUAAAAUAUUGUGGCACCUGUUAACCUCUUCUUUCUGUAGGAAGAAGAAUUAUUACUGUUACAACACAAUUGAAUGAGAUGUCAUGCUACAAAGGAAAUAGUGAAUAUGGAAUACAAAAGCAGAGUUUUAGAGGGGACUCCAUUUUCCAACAGAGGCCAUUUCUAUGGAUUUCCUCUCCAGUGUGGAUCUUCUGAUGGAUGACCGGGUUUGAUAAGAUGUGAAAGCUUGGUUACACACCUCACACUGGAAAUGUUUGUUCCCCCGUGUGAAUUGUCCGGUGCCUCUGAAGAGUGGAGGAUUGGGUGGAGGUCUUUGCACAAACGUCACAGGUACAAUGCAAUUCUACUGUAAAACAAGAAAAGGAAACAUGAUUUUCUGCAACUUUCACUCCUCCUUUGCUGAAGGGGCUGACUCCUUAGUUUGAGAUGGUUCCACGACACACUGGAUAUUGACCAGGAGCAGAUAAUGUGGCAAAAUUGUUUCUCUACCCAGGUUCUCCACUUCCCAAGUUCCAUAAGGACAAUAAAAAAAACACUAUGGCAGUGUAUAACAGGCUAUCGUGUCACUGUGAGCCUUUAUCCCACUGGCAAAAAUCAAUUUUAUAUUUUAGUCUAUGUGUUUAAUAUGAAAAACCACAUUCUGAACGAGUAUUAACUCAGUGGAAAUUUCUCUCCUUAUUUUCCAAAAUUAUUUAAAGACAACCACUGGGCAGGAAGUGCUCGAAGCUAAGCAAGGUAUGACUUUAAUGUUGUUGAUUGAAGGAUUCUGGGUUAUCCUGGGAAAUCAGACACACAACUUGCUCAGUCUACACAUCCCAAAUGCAGCUAUCAGCCACAACUCUGGGCAAAACUUCCAAACACAAGCCCAGGCUUUUGGGAAAGACUGUUGCCUUCGGAUAAAAUCUUUAAAGAAGACAUACAAAAACAUCUCAAUAAAUCUCAGUCCAGGUUUGGCAACUGA